rnacentral:rRNA from 1 species
GACGAAGGAUGCAAGCGUUCUCCGGAUUCAUUGGGUUUAAAGGGUGCGUAGGCGGCCCGGUAAGUCAGUGGUGAAAUCUCCUUGCUUAACAAGGAAACUGCCAUUGAUACUGUCGGGCUUGAGUACAGUUGCUGUGGGCGGAAUAUGACAUGUAGUGGUGAAAUACAUAGAGAUGUCAUAGAACACCGAUUGCGAAGGCAGCUCACAAAACUGUAACUGACGCUGAGGCACGAAAGUGCGGGGAUCAAACAGG